AACGAACGCUGGCGGCGCGCCUAAUACAUGCAAGUCGAGCGAGAAGACGUAGCAAUACGUUUGUAAAGCGGCGAACGGGUGAGGAAUACAUGGGUAACCUACCCUCGAGUGGGGAAUAACUAGCCGAAAGGUUAGCUAAUACCGCGUACGCUCCUUGGACUUCGGUUCAGGGAGGAAAGCGAUACCGUGGGUACCGCGCUCUUGGAUGGGCUCAUGUCCUAUCAGCUUGUUGGUGAGGUAACGGCUCACCAAGGCUUCGACGGGUAGCUGGUCUGAGAGGACGAUCGGCCACACUGGCACUGCGACACGGGCCAGACUCCUACGGGAGGCAGCAGUGGGGAAUAUUGGACAAUGGGCGCAAGCCUGAUCCAGCGAUGCCGCGUGUGUGAAGAAGGCCUGCGGGUUGUAAAGCACUUUCAGUAGGGAAGAAAAGCCGAGUGCUAAUAUCACUCGGUCUUGACGUUACUUACAGAAGAAGCACCGGCUAACUCCGUGCCA
rnacentral:rRNA from 1 species